AUUGAACGCUGGCGGCAGGCCUAACACAUGCAAGUCGAGGCGGGGGUAGCAAUACCCUAGCGGCGAACGGGUGAGGAAUGCUUGGGAAUCUGCCUGGUAGUGGGGGAUAACGUUCCGAAAGGAACGCUAAUACCGCAUACGUCCUACGGGAGAAAGGGGGGAUCUUCGGACCUCUCGCUAUCAGAUGAGCCCAAGCGGGAUUAGCUAGUUGGUGAGGUAAAGGCUCACCAAGGCGACGAUCCCUAGCUGGUCUGAGAGGAUGAUCAGCCACACUGGAACUGAGACACGGUCCAGACUCCUACGGGAGGCAGCAGUGGGGAAUAUUGGACAAUGGGCGAAAGCCUGAUCCAGCCAUGCCGCGUGUGUGAAGAAGG
rnacentral:rRNA from 1 species